rnacentral:rRNA from 1 species
AAACCAGCACCUCAAGUGGUCAGGAUGAUUAUUGGGCCUAAAGCAUCCGUAGCCGGCUCUGUAAGUUUUCGGUUAAAUCUGUACGCUUAACGUACAGGCUGCUGGGAAUACUGCAGAGCUAGGGAGUGGGAGAGGUAGACGGUACUCGGGAGGAAGUGGUAAAAUGCUUUGAUCUCUCGAUGACCACCUGUGGCGAAGGCGGUCUACCAGAACACGUCCGACGGUGAGGGAUGAAAGCUGGGGGAGCAAACCGGAGUAGAAACCCGAGUAGUCC